rnacentral:rRNA from 1 species
GUGGGGAAUAUUGGACAAUGGGCGGAAGCCUGAUCCAGCCAUGCCGCGUGUGUGAAGAAGGCCUUUUGGUUGUAAAGCACUUUAAGCGAGGAGGAGGCUCCUUUAGUUAAUACCUAAAGUGAGUGGACGUUACUCGCAGAAUAAGCACCGGCUAACUCUGUGCCAGCAGCCGCGGUAAUACAGAGGGUGCGAGCGUUAAUCGGAUUUACUGGGCGUAAAGCGUGCGUAGGCGGCUUUUUAAGUCGGAUGUGAAAUCCCUGAGCUUAACUUAGGAAUUGCAGUCGAUACUGGAAAGCUAGAGUAUGGGAGAGGAUGGUAGAAUUCCAGGUGUAGCGGUGAAAUGCGUAGAGAUCUGGAGGAAUACCGAUGGCGAAGGCAGCCAUCUGGCCUAAUACUGACGCUGAGGUACGAAAGCAUGGGGAGCAAACAGGAUUAGAUACCCCUGUAGUCC